UGGAAAGCUUCGGUCCAUAAUCAGCUGGCUCCAAGGCAGAGUGGCACAUUCAGAGGGACGUUGCAGGGGAGAACAGUUCAUGGCACUCACAUGGUCACAAAAGCAACAAAAGAACCUUAACAGCUUCUACCCCUUUCAUCUUACCCAGACUACUGGGAUUAGAGUGGUGCCCAGCCAGUCACUGUUCCGAUUUAAUAAUCACACCCCCUAGAUUCAGCCACCUGUGAAAAAGCCACCUGUGACUGCAUGAGGUUUUGGGGGGACGUCCAGACCCAAACCAGAGCCACCACACAAGCAUAGCAGGUGGAAGGCCGUGGUCCACCCUUGGAGACUUCCCCCCCCUCACAGCCUCCUGCUCAGUUUCUCAGGGAGGCUUGCAUCUUCUCUUAUGGGCGGAGCAGAGAUGCUGGUAGCAAGCAAUGUUCCCUUGCCUCUGGCAGGGACGGGGGGCUGGGGCAGGGUGGUCAGGCCCCUCACUUCGAGCCAAGGGAGUUGCAGCUCAGAACUCUUUCAGCGUGGCAGCCCCUUGGCUGAUGUGGCUACUGGGCACAUACAACACAGUGGCUGAGAUGUACUGGAAACAAAUACAGUCAGUUUCAAAGAUUUAGCACCCCUGAAAGAUGUUAAUAUUUCACUGAUUAUGCCUUAAAAUACUUUGUAAUAAGUUUAACCCAAAUCAAUUUCAGCUGUUUUCAGCAUGGCUACUAGAAAAAUUCGAAGUUACAGGUGUAGCUCAUGACUUCAUUUACACUUUGCUGGGGUGGACUCCCACCUUUUUCAAAGCUCAGGCUGCCUCCUCAAAAAGAGGCGAGGAGUUUUGAAAAUCUGAAAUUUACAACCUGUUAUUUUAGGGAAGAGGGAGGACAGAAAGGGGAAGGGGAAGUAAAAAUUAAGAUGUGUUACAUACAGAAAUAAGCAACCUGAAAGGAAGAAAGGCUUAUUUUGGCUCACACCUUCAGAGGUUUCAGUCCAUGGUUUCAGCAGUUCCGUUCCAACCCCAGUGACAUGUGAUGUUUGCCACAGCGUUACAACAGUCCAGCUGAUAUAGACUAAGUGUACUGGGUAAUACCUGCUGUCUGGGGCCUGGGGUGAAGUGGGAGUGUGUACUGGAAGGCUGCUGGGAAGUAGAGGGGAGGGGGCAUGUGUCCUCCCCAGUGACAUCACUUUCUCCCACCUCGCCCCUCCUAGUUUCCACCACCUCUCAACAGCACCACUGGCUGGCAACCAGGCCUUUAAGCAUAUGAGCCUUUGGGGGACAAACACCGCUAAGUUUAAAGUUCAACAUGAAAUACCAUACGUUCAUUUUUAUAUCAUGCCAGGACUUGACAUUUUGCACCAGGGUGGCAGAAUCAAUGAAAAGACACUGUCCUUUUCCGUAAGACUUACUUUUAAAAACUUGAUCAUUUAAUAUGAAAAAUUCCAUCUAUAAACAGAAUAUCUUUUAAAAACACUGUAGAAU
rnacentral:lncRNA from 1 species